CGAAGAUCAGAGAGGUUAAACAACUCGCCCAAGGUCACCAGCUGGGCAGGGGGAGCCCAACUUGAAAGGAGGUCUCCAGUUUCCAAGUCACAAGCUCUUUCCACCAGCUCGGAAAACCCAGGUGUCAAGUUGUCUCAACUUCCCAUGAAUUUUUAAGGCAACCGCAACUUCUCACUGUCUCACCGCAGGUACCUGAUAAAUCAUUCCAUAUCGCCCGCGGAACGGGGAGGAUUUAUUGGCGCUGGAGUUCGUGCCAGGCCCAGGAAAUGCCAUCUUUGAAAGCCGAGAGGCGGAUUCGCCCUGGGAGCCGAGGUCUGGCCGCCGCGCUUGGCUGGCUCCCCGCGGGCGGUGCGCCCCCUCGGCGCCCCGGGCUGGGGUCGUCGCGGUGCUGGGCCCUCCAGCUUCGCCGGCCACGUCCACCCCUGCCCGGGUCGGAGCGCACGCCCACGCCCCGCCGCCGCCGCCGCCGCGUCCCGGCCGCCCGCCCGGGACUGAGCCCCACCCCGCCCCGCUUGCUCACUCCCGGCACGGCCCCGCCAGUGAUUUUAUGCUGAGGAAUGUCAAACAGACCACGUUGAACAAAUCUUUAAAACGAGGACGAGUCCUGCCCAGCUGGGGUCCUGCUGACUUUCACACCAGUGCUCGUCCCGUUCCACUAGGAAUGGCUGGAGCUGUACAGCCCUGCCUGUCCCUGCAGUGUCCCAGCUCCUGCACGCCCGCACGUGGCACACAGUAAGUGCUCAAAAACUGUUUGUGGGAUGGAUAUGUGAAUGGAGGGAUGGACUGAUGUUUGGAACCGUCCGGUCCGGACUAAGGUGCCCGAGGUCCAGGUGGCCGGUCUGCCCAGGGCCAUUCGGCAGCCUCCCGGAACACCUGGCACCUCAUCUAGGUCCUUGUCCCCGGGGAGCGCCACUGCAAGCGGGCGCCGCCUGAGCGUCGCGUCGGGGGGAAUUCCGACGGAGUCAAGGAGUCCUAGGAACAGGACCCGCCCCGAGCCCUGCCCGGCCCUUUGGUCGCUCGCAAAACCUGGAGCCGCGGCUUAGGUCCAGAGCCCCACUGCGAAGGACGGGGAGUUCACUGGGCAUGCUCGGAGCCGGGCGGGGCCCGAGUGCCGGGGAGGAGGAGUCUCCCGGUGUGGCCGGCGACGCCCCCGGCAGAGCCCGGCGGAGUCCCGCGGGACGCUCAGCCCCCGCUUUGUUCUCGACGGUUUCGGGCGGAGGGGGGGGGGUCUGAGGGCCCUUUUUUAAAAGCUUAGGAAGAAAGCUGGGGAUUCGGAGUCCUCGAAGGGCGUUCUCUGCCUUCUCCGCUGUGUGAUCUGGGCCAAGCGCCAUACCCUCUCUGUGCUUCCAGUAACAAGAAAACCCAUCACUUGGAUCUGGGCAGAAUGUGGGGACUGAAUGAAAUAAAACACUUGAACAUGUUUAAUCCACUUUAAAAAUCCAUUUUGUGAGUGCCUUCCUCAGUUAUCUGUCAUCUGCAAACCAGUUUGCCAAGUGCUAAUAUGAGGAAGCGUAAAUUAAUGGACAUGGGAAUUUUUGGAGUUAGGUCUCAGUUUGCCUUCCACCACAAACUAGGCUGAAACUAUCUUCUUCCACACGUGCAACAGUCGUGAGCUUAAACAGUGCUCUAAGUUCGAACUCAAAAAUAUCUGCACAUCUAAGGGGAAAAAAAGACCUAAGUCGUUUAAAAACCGUGCAUUUCCAUCACCAUAACAGAAGCAGGAAUAAAAGGAGAGAAUAGUCCCCAAACUGGAUACAAAUGAACGCUCCCAAAUAGUCAAAGAGUGGAAUGAUUAGUUAGGUUAUGGUAUGUUUGUUGAAAUAAUAACUAGUUUAUAAUAAGCUAGACCAUAAUGCAACAGGGGAAAACUUAAAAUACAAUGUUGCGGGGGUUGGGGGGAGGGGUGGAGACGAAAACACAAAUAUGAUGCAUAAAGAUUAUGUCUACGCAUUCGCCCAGACUAGAAGGAAAUAUGGGAAAAUAUAAAUAGUUCAGUUUUGGAGGGUAGUGAGGUUAGUUCCUCUUUUUAAGUUUAUUACUAAAAAAUAUAUAAAAAUAACCCAAGAAACAAAGUUGACCUAUUACUGUCACACUGUUGUGUUUGUGAUAAUAAACAUUAAAAGACCAAAUUAAAAAUUUGUGAAGUUUUGUGAAAGUCUAAUCAUAAUAAUAACAAUAAUUACUAUUGUUAAGCUCAAGUGUGCUUGAUAUUGUGUCUUUAAUCCUUACAGUCACUAUCUAGGAUGCUUGUUUCUGGCUCAGUUUUACAGAAGAGGAAAUAAUCUAGGAGCCAUUCAGAGCUAGUAAGAUACAGGGUCAGGACUGAAUACAGUUGGUCUGACCUCAAAACCAGGGUAUUAGGUUUUGCUUCUCUGUGUGGCAGCUUACCAUGUAUUGAUCAGAAGAGAAACCACCUAUCAUUUCAUUUUGUGUCCUUUUUUGCUUUAUUAUCUCUACCCUUUGAUGUUUUUGUAGGCUGCAGAUUGCUUUUAAAUGUUCUGGUCUCCUGUUACUAUUUUAGUGUUGGAGCCAAAAUGUUAAAGUCCAUUCUUUUUCGCUGUUGCACCUGGAGUGACAUGAUGUUAUUAUCAGUGGUGACAACUGAUCUUCGGUCCUAAGCUCCCAAACUUUAUGGAUAUGAAGCUUUUGGAUGGACACAUAACCUUCUUAGUCUAUGUGGUUGAACCCAGCCAAAUCGAGAGCAAGUAGAGGCUUCAUCAGAGGGUAAGGCCAGCCCAAGUCUCAGAUGAGGAGGCCAGUCCGGACAUAGAUGAUUCUUCCUGCAUAAUCAUGUUGGAGUCAGAAUCACAACAUAAUGGAACUACCUGGUCCAUGGACUCCUCAGAACUUUGUUGCGAUGAAAAGAUACAAGGCCGAUAGUCCUGAUGAUGUUUGCUAAGAGAAAUCCAGGGCCCUAAGAGCAGCCCUCCUGUUGAUAACCAAAACCAGAAACAAACAAACAAACAAACAAAAACACCCAAAAAAACCCCAGCUCGCUCUUUUAGUAGUGCUGGUCAACUGUUCCUGGCCCAGAAAUCACUAAACAACAAGAAACACACACACAGGGGUGCCUGGGUGGCUCAGUGGGUUAAAGCCUCUGUUUUCUGCUCAGGUUGUGAUCCCAGGGUCCUGGGAUUGAGCCCCUCAGAGGGGAGCCUCCCUUCUCUCUGCCUGCCUCUCUGCCUACUUGUGAUCUCUUACUUGUGUCAAAUAAAUAAAUAAAAUCUUAAAAAAGAAAAAAAAAAAAAAAGAAACACACACAAAACCAAAGAGGGUCAUUUCGUUGGAGAGGAAGGUAUGCCACAAACCCAAUAGCAUCACUGGUAAUGGGCCAGAUUCAGGCAAAAGGAAUGCGAGAUGCCCAAUUGGACACAGUUAUUAGUGUAUUCCCGGAAGCUGCUGGGUUCGGAAGAAAUCUGGUGCCCAGCACCAGACACAGGCAAUUGGCUGGGGGCAUUUACAGGAAGAGUUUCCUGGAAGGAUCACUGAGGAUCGGCAUUCACAGCAAGGCUCAGGAAGUCUGGGCACCAUGUGGACUGUUUCAGAGCUGGGCUCCCAGCUGAGAUGCUAAUGCUCAUCAAUUAUUUGUAUGUUAAUGCAAACUCCUGAAGGGCUGAAGCCCCAGCAAAUACGCGGGCAAGUGGUGCUGUUGCAAUGACAAGGGAGAAGAAUACAGGGUAAAAUUAUAUACGCAGUGUGGCUUCCACUCUGAAUUACUGAGUUAAACCAUAUAAAACGGCCAUUUUGUGGGUCAGUAAUGGUUGAACGUGGGCAGCUUUCUGUAUUUCAACCGAAUUCAUACACAUAGAAAAAAAGAUGAAAAAGAACCGCACCGAAAUAUUAAUGGCGACUCUCCGAACCUUGCAUUUACAAGCAGAGAAACAAGAUAGGGAAGGUAUCUUUUAUAAACCUGGAGAACCUCAAGGCUUUGGGCAUCUAUUUCUUUGCUAUGUCUUUACAGUUCCCUAAAUCUUAUUCUUAUGGCGUGUUUCCUUCAUUAUCAGGAAAAGUGAAACCAACUUUAAGAGUCGGCAAGCCAAACAAAAUGAUGUAUGGAGGGAAAACAGCUACUCUGGAAUCACACACAGAUGGGAGAGUUUCCUUUCACAGAGCAUGAAGACCAUCGUGCCCUGUCCAGCACAGGCAGAGGAUGAUAGAUUGUCUGUUCCUGGCCCAGGAGGGAAGGAAGAG